rnacentral:sRNA from 1 species
UGACAGAUGCGAGACCAUGGAAAUGCC